CCCUUAGAUGUCCGGGGCUGCACGCGCGCUACACUGAAGGAAUCAGCGUGCUAAAACCAUUGUCGAAAGGCAUUGGUAAACCCAUUAAAAUCCUACGUGAUUGGGAUCGGGAAUUGCAAUUAUUUCCCUUGAACGAGGAAUUCCCAGUAAGUGUGGGUCAGAAGCUCGCGUUGAUUACGUCCCUGCCCUUUGUACACACCGCCCGUCGCUGCCCGGGACUGAGCCGUUUCGAGAAAAGCGGGGACUGCUGCUGUCGGGGCUUUCGGGCCUUGGCUUCGGUGGAAACCGCUUUAAUCGCAGUGGCUUGAACCGGGCAAAANUCGUANCA
rnacentral:rRNA from 1 species